UAAGCCAGCUUGUGGAAGGGGCCUCUGGGUGGCAGCUCUGGGCUUUUGGGUGUUGGACAACCAUAGGCAAAACUGAAAUGGAACAGGGGCAGAAAAUAGCACACUUUUACUCUACGCAACUGUUGCUUUUUCAUGGACAGUACUACAGAAGGACUAAGUAUAUAGGAAACUUGACUUAUUUAAAUAAGGCAGUGAAAAAAAUAGAAUAUGGGGAGUAAAACAACCUCUGAAGCUAAGUCUGCAUAUAUAAUAACUGGAUCUUCAGGAAUUUUACUGGGAUAAUUAUCCAAAUAAAUUGCAAGCAUUCUAUCCAAAUGGAGCUCUUUCUGAGAUGAAGAGAAUUCUCAAUGUCAAGAUUUGAACAAGAAGAGAAUGGAAUACACAAUAUGGACAUCCAUAAAAAUUCAUCAGAGAGCAUUUUACUACUGAGCUGCAAAGGUAGGAAAAAUAAAUUUUUUUUGGUUAGAAAAUAUACUUCUUUCAUCUGCGUUUCAAUAAUUUAUUCCCCUUGUUAGAUAUACAUGGAAUUGAUAUUGCUUAUUCUGACUAAGUGAAAAGUGUUAUUUCUACUUACUGCUCAAUUAGAAACAUGUAGUGUUUAAUUGUCAGUUUGAAUUUUUCUUUCAUACUAUUACAGUUUAUAUUUUACUAUAGGCAGAAUUUCCUCUUUAUCCUAAAUUUUGAUAUUCUCCAUAAUUUCAUCGUGCCUUGACAUUGCUGUAUAUAAUUUCUAUACAUCAGGAAGGCAAUUCUGUGUGCAUGUGUGUGUGUAUAUAUAUAGUUAGAAGUUAGAAACUGAAACUCUUUUUUGUCUACCAUCAUUUCAUAUUUUUCUUGCUAUUUCAAACCUAUAAUUUUUAAAGAAACGACUAACGUAAUCAUUCAUAGAAUAUGCUGUCAGUAACUUAACAAUAUAAAUGUUAACAUGGAGGCAUUUAGUUCAGCAUUUGCUUUACUUAAUAGAGUGCAGAAAAUGUGGCCCUUUUCUCAGUUAGGGUGUAUGUGAAGAUAAAUUUAGAAUUUCUAGACUAGUAAAUACUUCUCUGAUAAUAACUUAAUUAUAGCUAUUUCAAACCAAAUUGUUUAAUUGUGGUGAAUCAUAUGUAAAUUGUUCAGAUGUAGGUCAACACCCACGCCCACAUUCUAGCACCUCUUUCCUAAUUCAAGACAACUUUGCAGUGCCUAAAAGAGCUGAACAGUGCAGAUUAGAGACAUAAGACAAAAAAAAAAAAAAAACACAAAACAA
ensembl:lncRNA MIR99AHG mir-99a-let-7c cluster host gene